rnacentral:rRNA from 1 species
CUCGUAGGCGGUUUGAUAAGUCCUGUGUGAAAUCCCUUGGCUUAACCAAGGAACUGCGCCGGAUACUGUCGAACUAGAGGCCGGGAGAGGGAAGCGGAAUUCCGAGUGUAGCGGUGAAAUGCGUAGAUAUUCGGAGGAACACCGGUGGCGAAGGCGGCUUCCUGGACCGGUUCUGACGCUCAAGAGCGAAAGCUAGGGUAGAAC